GACAGAGGGUGCAAACGUUUGUUCGGAAUUACUGGGCGUAAAGCGCGUGUAGGCAGUCUCGAAAGUCGGAUGUGAAAGCCCUGGGCUCAACCUAGGAAGUGCAUUCGAAACUUCGAGAUUUGAGUCCUGGAGAGGAUCGCGGAAUUCUCGGUGUAGAGGUGAAAUUCGUAGAUAUCGAGAGGAACACCGGUGGCGAAGGCGGCGAUCUGGGAAGAUACGUGACGCUGAGGUGCGAAAGCGUGGGGAGCAAACAGGG
rnacentral:rRNA from 1 species